GACGAACGCUGGCGGCGUGCCUAAUACAUGCAAGUCGAACGCAGUGGGGACGGGUGAGUAACACGUGGGUAACCUCCCAUCAGAGGGGAUAACACUUGGAAACAGGUGCUAAACCGAUACUGAUGGAUGGACCCGCGGUGCAUUAGCUAGUUGGUGAGGUAACGGCUCAACAAGGCCACGAUGCAUAGCCGACCGUGGAGGGUGAUCGGCCAAAUUGGGAUCGAGACACGGACCAGACUCCGACGGGAGGCAGAAGGAGGGAAUCUUCGGCAGUGGACGAAAGUAUGACCGAGUAACGCCGAGUGAGUGAAGAAGGGUUUCGGAUCGUAAAACUCUGUUGUUAGAGAAGCGGUAUCUAACCAGAAAGCUACGGCUAACAACGUGCCAGCAGCCGCGGUAAUUC
rnacentral:rRNA from 1 species